UACGGAGGGUGCGAGCGUUGUCCGGAUUCACUGGGCGUAAAGGGUGCGUAGGCGGUUGGGUAAGUCUGAUGUGAAAUCUCACAGCUUAACUGUGAAACUGCAUUGGAUACUAUCCGGCUCGAGGAAUGGAGGGGAGACUGGAAUACUUGGUGUAGCAGUGAAAUGCGUAGAUAUCAAGUGGAACACCAGUGGCGAAGGCGAGUCUCUGGACAUUUCCUGACGCUGAGGCACGAAAGCCAGGGGAGCAAACGGG
rnacentral:rRNA from 1 species